UGUAGUGAAUUAAAGGUUGAAUUUUUUUCAAUUACUUUACCAUAUUUGCCAUUUUUUUUUUAUGUUUCUUAUGUUUGGUUUUUGCUGCUUCUUGAAUUCCCACGUAUACCUAGUGGGCCUGACUUGCUUACUGCCAAUGACUACAACUUUGGAGCCAGGGAGCUGACUAUCUAACUGCUGGAAACAUUGUUCAUAGCCAUGCCUUUUCUUGGAGCAGGUAGAAAUCUCAUGACGGAGUUCACGCUGCUUUAGUAGAGAGAGUGAUGAAAGGUGGCAUAAGUUAAACCACCAUCAGCCCCAUCUUCUUUUUACAUAUACUAAACAAGCUGAAUGAGAAAAUGAAAAUAUCCUUCUUAUUUUAAUAAGCAUUAAUUUAAAAUUUAGAAAAGUGAGAAUUCUGUGCAAUUCAACAAGUAAAUGGAUUUAGGAGAGCAAGAAAUCUCAAUCAAAACCACACAAGUAUCUAAUUCUCAGCCCUCAUCCAUCUACAUAUAUGUAAAUGACCCAAAAUUGGUGAAGUAAAUUGCUGAUUUUUUUUUUUUUACUACAAAUGUGUUUGGAUGCCAAAAGGAUGCUCUUAUUUACAAGUGCUUGUCUCAAAUACCCAUUUAAUUACUAUUUUACCAUUUCCCUAAAAAUAAUUCAUCAUCAUCUCUCUGCUCAAAUGUAUCUCAACACAAAAAGCAUGAAAAUAAAAAAAAAAAAAACCCUAAAGUUCCUACAGACAUGAGACUGUCUAGUCCUCAUUGCCCCACAAAUUCUGUUGUUUCUGAAAUAUUACUUCCAAAGAACUUCUGAUACAAAUGGGCCUAUCAUAAGGAGCAUCUAUAGUUGAGGCCUGACACGGCUAAGAGAGGAGAAGGACCUGUUUUGCCCAUUUCCUAAAAGGGACUAUAGGCAGCUAUUUUGCUUUGUGUUAAAAAAAUCUAAAUUGAGAUAUAAAAAAUAUCAGCAUAUCACUGUGCUAGGACUUUUAAUAAGAUUAUUAUAAUUGCUGUCAAUGUUCUGGUUACACAGUUCCAUAGGUUUUGAGUGGUUUUCCUCAAUCCUAUUUUCCCCCAUAAUCUCUGACUUUUCUGAACUGAGGUUUUUCAGAAACAGAUGUAUGGCGUUGGAACAGGAAUGUUUAGUUUUUUUCUGAGCUGUGCAUCCUGGUACUAAGUGGGGGAGAAGCACUGGGACGUGGGAGGACUGCUCAUGCUCCAAAGUAUAAUAGUAAAUUUAAGGCACACAACUUAAUAUUGUUUAGUUCCACUCAGUGAGAGAUUUACAAUGAUAACAGGACAAUCAAAUAUUUUCACAUUUCUUUUCAUAUUUGAAUGCAGAGCCUCUAUUAUAAAAAGCACCUUUUUUUGUGGUUAAAAUACCUUGAUUGAUCUGAGCACUAGGAUGAGAACAAGGCUUCAUCAAUUAAAUAUUCCACAUUUCCUUUUCUUCUAACUAUUGCUAAAUGUGAAAUUUAAAAUAAUUGACAGUGUACAAAAUCUGAACAUAAAAUAUGGCUGAGAAACAGGGCAGAAUCUGGUAAAACCCAUCAUGUUAUUCACUUGAACUUCUUUUCUUAAGGAAUACAGACAAAGAGAGAACAUUAAGUUAGUAACUAUUCCUUCAGUUAGGUUUGUGUUGACCUUGUGCAAAUUCUCCUAUAAUUCUGAGUAAAAAGACAUUCUCCUCAGCCCACAGGAUACAGCAAUAAUUACAGAAGUAAUUCAGUAAGGAAAAAAAUAGCCUCAAGUUUAUUCCUGCUGUUCUUCUGAAAUGAAUCAGAAAUUGAACACUCUUAAUAAUAGCUUUAUAGUUAGGUGGGGAUUGAUGAUCAAAGUAUAGACAUGCAGAGAGAGCUUUUUGAGAUAAAUACCUAUCCAGCUCAGAAACAUGCAUGUGAAAAAGAAAUCAAUCAACUGCAUUAAUAACUACAACCAUGCAAUUUUUUGUUUUAAUUUUUAACAGUGAUAGCCCUGCUUCUUAGGUGGAGAAUUCCUUUUUUACUAAAAGUAAAUUUUGGCAAAUCUUUACCAUUAUGUUUGUAUGUAGGCUUAUGUCAACCUAUGGAGGCGAUAACGAUGCAGUGGUUCAUGAGAUUGCCAACUUAUAAAGUAGUUAUAUUUCAAAAAUGAAUAAACUUAGAAGUAGAGGAGUGCAGAGGUUAAGCAGGGGGGUCACAAAUUAGACAAAUGGAAGUUGAAUUCUGACCCUGUUGUUUAUUGUGUGAUAUUAAACAUAUAACUCACUGAUCCCUGAUUUCCUCAGUUACACCAAAGUAUGAAACUCAUAAUUGUGAGUUUUUCUUUUUGUCUUUUUAGAGCUGUACCUGAGGCAAAUGGAAAUUCCCAGGGUAGGGGUCCAAUCGGAGCUGUAGCUGUUGGCCUAUGUCACAGUCACAGCAACGCAGGAUCUGAGCUGUGUCUGCAACCUACACAGCUCAUGACAAUGCCAGAUCCUUUAACCCGCUAAGCAAGGCCAGGGAUUGAACUCACGUUCCCAAGGAUACUAGUCAGGUUCAUUACCGCUGAGCCAGAAUGGGAACUCCUCAUGAUUGUGUUUUAACACUGAAUUUAAUAUUGCCCAUAAAGCCAUUAGCGCUAAGUAAAUUUUAGAACUAGAUAAAAAUUAGGAUAAUGUAUCAAUUGGAUAUGGCUAGAUAUAGCAUAUAGAUAUUAAGAAAUGAUGUAAUUUUAAUUAACUUCCCAUUUUCUUACUUCCAAAUUCUUAAAAACUCAUAAGUAAUGGUAAGUAUCUUUAUAAAGAAUUUAUAAAGACUUUUUGAGUGUACUCAAAAUCUGAAUAUAUAAAUGAAGACUUUUUCAGUUAGAAUUAAAAAAAAAAAAAUCACAGGACUCUAUUGCUCCCACCAUAACAAUAAAAAUAAGACAGAUAAGCCCAGAACUCAUAGUAUUUUUAAACUGAGCAGAGAGCUGAGGAAACAAAGAAAACUAAAUGAACUAAAUCACAGAAAUUAAUUAGCAUUUCCCAAGAAAGAAGUCCAAGUCUAUGAAGAAUAGUAAGAAAAGGAGAAAUCCACUAUAGAUGGCUGUAAGGAAGAAUCAGUCAAGUUUUUAAUGGCUGAGUGUGGACAUGGUUAAUAGGUUUGAAUCCUGAGGAUCCCUAAGCACAGGACAAGUUUGCAACCAUUCGCCAGUGCUUUCCCCUGGGCCUUCCAAGAGUGUGAAAUAUAGAGUGCCUAAAAGUGGGAUUAGGUCAAGAGAGCAGAGAGAGAGCCCCACUAAGGUUCAGGAGACUGUCAUUAAACAAGACAUUGACACUGCUUAGGGCAGAGUUAGGGCAGAAGAGUAGAUAAUUUCAUUUUGGUGGCUUUGGGAAGGAUAAAUGUAACUAAUAUAAUUCCCUGUUAGGAACUCUAAAGAUUCACCAAGUAGAAGGCAGACAUACCAAAUGCUGGCUGUAGAUAGCAGUUCCCUAGACAAAGCUCCCAAGUCACCCCAGGCCUAACUCAAGUGCACUGCAGCAAAUAUCCAAAGGCUGGGGUUGGGCACCAGUGAAGAGAGGGGUCUCCUAAGGUGCAGAAAACUGGUCUUAAAAUCUGAGAGCAAAGAGAUCACCCAUGUACCCUUCAGUUGAACAGCAGUCAAUAAAGCAGAGGUGGAUCUAAUUCUUGUAAGGCUGGUAACUAAGCUCUUAUAAAAAGAUCUGAGGGGUCUUGAGAUUGGGAGACAGGAAAAUAUGCUUGUUCUACCACUUCUAUUAAAAUUUGACUGGAAAUCCUAAUUAGCAAGAGGAAAUGAAAGGCAUAAACUCUAAAAAGGAGAAGUAUAUAUGUUUUUAUUCACAGAUAACAUGAUUGAUAUGUAGAGCACCCUAUGAAUCCUAAAAACAACUAACAAAAAAUGUAACUAAUAAUAGAACCAGUAACAGAAUUACGAAAGUCAUAGGCAGGAACUUGCUGACCUUGGCGAUACUGGCAUUCAAGAGAUGAUUUUUUUUUUUUAAUUUUCAGGAAUUUUAUGUGCAGGUUGUAAGCAUAGCAAUUAAUACAAAUUAAACAUAUAAUGAAAUAAGUUAUAUUAAAAUCAAUGGUAUACUCAGAUAUGAUCACCUCCUAAUAUAUUUUAGCAAUAUCUAUGUUUUGAGGAUAUUUAUAUAUGCUGUAUAUGGAUGAAAUGAUGUGCUACUGCACGUAUUAUCUCAAUUCAAUGUUCAGUGAUAUACAUUGACAGCCUGAAAUCUGCCAUGGUAGUUAUACCAUAAAAAUAAGUACCACUGCAAACUUCAGCUCUUUUUCACUCAAAGAGCUGGUUGUUAGACAUUUACCAACACAACACAGGCCACAAGAUACAACACUAAUCAUAUUUCUAUAUACCAAAAGUAAAUAACUAGAAACAAAUUUUUAAAUCUAAAACAUCAAGUGCCUAGAUGUUAAAUAUGAAAUAUAUGCAAAGUACCUAUAAUAGAAUACAGCUAUAUGGAAAAUAGAAAAAUAGGCUGAGAUAAAGUAAAUCUAACUAUAUGGAUUAUGGAUUGCACGUGGCUUAUUAAGACUCUAUUGCUGAGAUUUCCAUUAUCUCCAAGUUGAUAUAUGGAUUCAAUGCAAUCGCAAUCAAAAUCCUAGAUGUUCUUUCAAAGAUAUUGACAAUUUAUUUCCAAAAUUUGAACUAAAAUGCCAAAACCUAGAAAACGAAAAUAUGAUAAAAAGUUUUAAGAAAGCUGGAGGAUUUAUACUGUGAUUUCAAGAUCAUAUAAAGCUAUAGGGAUAAAGACAGUAUGGUAUUGGUCUAAUGAUAGACAAACAGAUAAAUGGGAUGUAUAAUCCAGGAGUAAACCCAAACAUGUAUGAUUAGUUGAUUUUUGGCUAGCAUGCCAAAUUAAUUCAGCGGGGAAAGAAAAUAUUUUUAAUAAAUGAUACCUUAACAUCUGGAGAUUCAUAUGGAAAGAAAGUGAGCUUUGCCUCCUAUCUCCCUCUGGACACAAGUAGUAUGGAAUGGCACAUACUCCAAAAUUUGUAGAAAAUUUAGUAGAAUAUUUUUGUUACCUUGGGAAAGGCAAAGAGCUUUUUCAGACAGGACUUGAUGAGCACUAACCACGAAUGAAAAGUGACAAAUUAGACCUCAUAAAAAUGUAAAUUUCCUGUUUAUCAAAAGAUAAGUUUAAGAGAAUGACAAUGAAAGCCAUAAACUAGGAUAAAAUUGAAAUACAUGUUGAAAAGGACUUGUAUCUUGAGUACAUAAGAAACACCUACAGAUGAAUAACAUAAAAAGCAGAAAAUGUAGUUUAACAACUCACGAAAGACUUCAACAGGCAUUUCACAAAAGAAGAUUCAUGGAUCAUCAAUAAGAUUUCAUGAAAAGGUGAUCAGCAUUUUUAUCCUUCAGGAUAAUGGAAAUUAAAACCCACAAUGUAAAGUCAUUUCAGCAAAUUAGAAU
rnacentral:lncRNA from 1 species